rnacentral:rRNA from 1 species
GGUUCUUUCUCUUCGGAGCAUCCGAGACAGGUGGUGCAUGGUUGUCGUCAGCUCGUGUCGUGAGAUGUUGGGUUAAGUCCCGCAACGAGCGCAACCCUUAUCUUCAGUAGCCAGCGAGUGAAGUCGGGCACUCUGGAGAGACUGCCGGGGAUAACCCGGAGAAAGGUGGGGAUGACGUCAAAUCAUCAUGCCCCUUAUGAUUUGGGCUACACACGUGCUACAAUGGCGUAAACAGAGGGAAGCGAGCCCGCGAGGGGGAGCGAAUCCCAAAAAUAACGUCCCAGUUCGGAUUGUAGUCUGCAACUCGACUACAUGAAGCUGGAAUCGCUAGUAAUCGCGGAUCAAAAUGCCGCGGUGAAUACGUUCCCGGGUUUGUACACCCCGA